GUAGGUGAACCUGCGGAAGGAUCAUUAAAAAUGAAGCCGGGAAACCGGUCCUUCUAACCCUUGAUUAUCUCAAUUUGUUGCUUUGGUGGGCCGCGCAAGCACCGGCUUCGGCUGGAUCGUGCCCGCCAGAGACCCCCAAACUCUGAAUAUUGUCGUCUGAGUAAUAUAUAAUAAGUUAAAACUUUCAACAACGGAUCUCUUGGUUCUG
rnacentral:misc_RNA from 1 species